rnacentral:rRNA from 1 species
UACGAAGGGAGCUAGCGUUGUUCGGAAUCACUGGGCGUAAAGCGCACGUAGGCGGAUUUGUCAGUCAGGGGUGAAAUCCCGGGGCUCAACCUCGGAACUGCCUUUGAUACAGCAAGUCUUGAGUUCGAGAGAGGUGGGUGGAAUUCCUAGUGUAGAGGUGAAAUUCGUAGAUAUUAGGAAGAACACCGGUGGCGAAGGCGGCCCACUGGCUCGAUACUGACACUGAGGAGCGAAAGCCAGGGGAGCAAACGGG